UGGUAGACUUCAGCGAACGGCCAUCAUGCUAAAUAGUGGCGCAGCGGUGAUAUCUGCCUGUGGUGUCACUAUUUCGCGAGCUCGACGUGUGCUGAGGGGUUCCAGUGCUUGAUUAGGAGGGUACCAGAAAGAUAGGAGUUUCAGACGUCUCGCGUUCUCGACGAGUUCGAGAAACGUCAACGUCGUCGGCUAAAAUAAAUCAACGCGGAGGAAUUCGGGGGAACCUGCAAACCCACCGACGGAAGAAAUUAUUAUGCCGCGUAAGUCCUGGCCGUCGAAUCCUUGACACGUAUAAAGCAACAACGGCGAGAAAUGGUGCUUGCAUUUGUGAGAAGAGGAUUCAACUGUGGAGUGCCUUUUCUUCCUUGUGCCAGGAACUCCAUUCGUGCAUAGGUGGCAGUUCUGACAGGAGGUUCCUGAUUAAUAGAAGUUGCGCAGCCUAAUAUUAUCGCAAAGUUAGCGAAUCGAAGGGUCGAUAGGAGAACUAAGGCAACGACAGCAGAAUCGAGAAUGGUCGAGGACGAUCAGGAAAAC